rnacentral:rRNA from 1 species
AGUGAACGCUGGCGGUAGGCCUAACACAUGCAAGUCGAACGGCAGCACAGGAGAGCUUGCUCUCUGGGUGGCGAGUGGCGGACGGGUGAGGAAUACACCGGAAUCUACUCUGUCGUGGGGGAUAACGUAGGGAAACUUACGCUAAUACCGCAUAUGACCUACGGGUGAAAGCAGGGGACCUUCGGGCCUUGCGCGAUUGAAUGAGCCGAUGUCGGAUUAGCUAGUUGGCGGGGUAAAGGCCCACCAAGGCGACGAUCCGUAGCUGGUCUGCGAGGAUGAUCAGCCACACUGGAACUGAGACACGGUCCAGACUCCUACGGGAGGCAGCAGUGGGGAAUAUUGGACAAUGGGCGCAAGCCUGAUCCAGCCAUACCGCGUGGGUGAAGAAGGCCUUCGGGUUGUAAAGCCCUUUUGUUGGGAAAGAAAUCGAGCUGGCUAAUACCCGGUUGGGAUGACGGUACCCAAAGAAUAAGCACCGGCUAACUACGUGCCAGCCGCCGCGGUAA